UGACCGAUAGUGAACCAGUACCGUGAGGGAAAGGUGAAAAGCACCCCGACGAGGGGAGUGAAAGAGACCUGAAACCGAAUGCUUACAAGCAGUCGGAGCAUCCAUUGUGGUGUGACGGCGUACCUUUUGUAUAAUGGGUCAGUGAGUUAGUCUAUCAAGCAAGCUUAAGCCGUUAGGUGUAGGCGUAGCGAAAGCGAGUCUGAAUAGGGCGAUUGAGUUUGAUGGAUUAGACCCGAAACCCGGCGAUCUAGUUAUGGGCAGGUUGAAGGUGCAGUAACAUGCACUGGAGGACCGAACCCACGUCUGUUGAAAAAGACGGGGAUGACCUGUGGUUAGGGGUGAAAGGCCAAUCAAACUCGGAAAUAGCUGGUUCUCCGCGAAAUCUAUUUAGGUAGAGCGUCACGAUUAGACUCUGGGGGGUAGAGCACUGAAUGGGCUAGGGGUCCUCACCGGAUUACCAAACCUUCUCAAACUCCGAAUACCCAGAAGUUAUGCGUGGCAGACACACGGCGGGUGCUAACGUCCGUCGUGAAAAGGGAAACAACCCAGACCGCCAAUUAAGGCCCCUAAGUAAUAGCUAAGUGCGAAACGAUGUGGAGGUGCUGAGACAAUCAGGAGGUUGGCUUAGAAGCAGCCAUCCUUUAAAGA
rnacentral:rRNA from 11 species